AUGGUCUCACAUACUAGUUUUCUAAUACGAAAAACAAAAAGAGGAAAGCAGCGGGAUUCCUAAAACACAGAAAACCACUUCCAUUUAUUUAGGUAAAGCAUGAAUUUUAACGUCAAAAGUGCAGAAAUGUGUUCAGCGUUGCAAUAAUGGAGUGAGCACCAGUGGGGUCCAUUGGCCUCUCAGCCGCUCUCUAGCUCAUUCACUGCCAGUUCUUUCCUCUCUUCAGCACCUCUCCUCCCAGGGGACAGCUUUAACCCGGACUUCACACAAGGAACUCCAAGACAGUGAAUGGAACCAUCACAGCUGCAGGCCACCAAAGCUCUCAAGUAUGGAGACAACAUUCCUAGGCUGUGCUGAUUUAUAAUGAAGCUGUGUAGCUGUGCUUUACACAUGUCUACACAAAGCUUGUGAAAAAGAGCAACACGCAGCACUCUUGGCUCACCAGGGCUUCUCAACCUUGGCACUACUGGCAUCUAUGACGUAUCAUUCUUGGUAGUAGUCCUGUGCACUGAAGGAUAUUCGGCAACAUCUCUGGCUGCCACUACCACCUCCUCAACUCCUGGAACAACCCUCUCCAAAACUCAACCCCAAGCUGUGGUAACCAGAAUGUGUCUAGAUAUUGCCAAAUGCCCCCUGGAGGACAAAAAGAGACCCCCACUGAGAACUAUUGCUCUGAAUGUACAGAACCAAGAGGAAAACUGUCUGUCAUGCCAAUCUGGGUGAAGUCUAGAAGAGAGACUCUGUGACCUCCAUAAACACUGCUAAUGCAAGAACGCAAUCCUUCUUCACAGCCAGAGCAUUUGUCUGGAAGAUAUGUUUUUAAAACAUACUGAUAUAUCAUUGCACUCAAUUCUGUCAAUGGGCUUCUAAAUUACCUUAUAUCUCUAUGAUAACCUUUGGAAAACUAACAGGGUAGAAAAACUUAUAAGAAAACAGAAUCAAAGGAGAGGGAGUGUAAAUCAGUAAUUAUUUUUAAAAGGCUUCUUUUAUAUUAAUGAUAAACAUUACCUUUAAAAAAUUAUCUAGUAUAACAUAUUUCUUUGAAAAAUAUGGGCCUCUGUAACAAGUCUUUCAGUGCUGUAUGUAACUGGUAAAAUUAACUUCACCAAUGUUGGCUAAUUCUGAAAGUGUAUGAUGAGUUAUGGUAUCUGGAGAGAAAUGUGGGCACUGGAAGUGGCAGUCCCAAUGUGCUUGGCCUUCCAUCGUCAGUCGAAGAUUCUCAGCCAGAGGAGGCUCUACCUUUACCUACUAAGAGGAAUAAAAUGAUAUUACAUCAAA